UAGACGGAUGCUCGCUGGUUAGGGCGUUUAGCUGUUAACUAAAAGUUCGUAGGAUCGAAGCCUACUCGUCUAG
rnacentral:tRNA from 2 species